rnacentral:rRNA from 1 species
AUUGAACGCUGGCGGCAUGCCUUACACAUGCAAGUCGAACGGCAGCACGGGAGCAAUCCUGGUGGCGAGUGGCGAACGGGUGAGUAAUAUAUCGGAACGUGCCCAGUCGUGGGGGAUAACGCAGCGAAAGCUGUGCUAAUACCGCAUACGAUCUACGGAUGAAAGCGGGGGAUCGCAAGACCUCGCGCGAUUGGAGCGGCCGAUAUCAGAUUAGCUAGUUGGUGGGGUAAAGGCCCAUCAAGGCGACGAUCUGUAGCUGGUCUGAGAGGACGACCAGCCACACUGGAACUGGGACACGGUCCAGACUCCUACGGGAGGCAGCAGUGGGGAAUUUUGGACAAUGGGCGAAAGCCUGAUCCAGCAAUGCCGCGUGCAGGACGAAGGCCUUCGGGUUGUAAACUGCUUUUGUACGGAACGAAACGGUCUCUUCUAAUAAAGGGGGCUAAUGACGGUACCGUAAGAAUAAGCACCGGCUAACUACGUGCCAGCAGCCGCGGUAA